GCACUGAUGAUUUAGUAGUACAAUCUUUGCCUUCUAUGUGGAGACCUGGGUUCGAUUCCCGGUCAAUGCA
rnacentral:tRNA from 1 species